GUUCCGCUGCUACGCAUCGGCUGGACUCUCCCACUAGCCGGUGUGACCCUGACUCUGUGCCGGGUCUGAGGAUGCCCUCCGUCGUCAUCCCUUAGAAGGCGUUACCUGCUUUCAGACUGCCUCGUUGCGGCGCACUCACUACUUCCAAAAGCCUAGCAUUUCGAGACAACAAUCCCUUCUUGUUCAUAGACAACUUAUUCGUCCAUGGAACUGCCAUGGAUUGGUCUUUCGGUGCCGAUUGAUGCACGGUCGUCGGCGCCAUUAUGCAUCCACCGUUCGCAACAGGCCUUAAUAACCCGCAUUUCGCGCGCGUCCGCCAAGGAAUUCAGACUACACUUUCGGGUGCCGAGUUGGCACCUCCCAGUAACCUUUGACCCCUUGAACUCACGUCUUCUCCUCUCGCCUUAAGGUGCACAUCGCCACUUUACGCAUCUCUACACCUCCUUGUGGUCACCGCUUCCGCCGAGAGACCAGACAUUGACUGCGACUCCGCGCUUUCGCACCCCUCGCUUGUCCUAAUCUAUGGGACCAUCAGGUGCGGCAUUUGCUACUCACGAUUCACAAUCUCCCAA
rnacentral:rRNA from 1 species